rnacentral:rRNA from 1 species
UGGUGCAUGGUUGUCGUCAGCUCGUGUCGUGAGAUGUUGGGUUAAGUCCCGCAACGAGCGCAACCCUCGACCUUAGUUGCCAGCAUUCAGUUGGGCACUCUAAGGUGACUGCCGGCUAAAAGUCGGAGGAAGGUGGGGAUGACGUCAAAUCAUCAUGCCCCUUAUGACCUGGGCUACACACGUGCUACAAUGGGCGGUACAAAGGGUCGCGAACCCGCGAGGGGGAGCCAAUCCCAAAAAAGCCGCUCUCAGUUCGGAUUGCAGGCUGCAACUCGCCUGCAUGAAGCCGGAAUCGCUAGUAAUCGCGGAUCAGCAUGCCGCGGUGAAUACGUUCCCGGGCCUU